rnacentral:rRNA from 1 species
AUGGCUGAUGAACAAAGCCGGCAGGCUUGCCCUCGUCAAGUCCGUUCUCUGCGCGAUCCCGGUGCACCAGUUGCUUGCUUUUGCCCCCACGAAGAAAACUCUGCGGCAGCUCGAGAAGAUUCAACGGGGAUUCUUAUGGGCUGGGCGAGCCGUCGCCAAUGGCGGUCACUGCCAUGUGAACUGGCGCCUUGUCUCCCGCCCCCUCGAACUUGGAGGUCUCGGGGUUCGUGA